AUUGAACGCUGGCGGCAGGCCUAACACAUGCAAGUCGAGCGAGCGGCGGACGGGGGAGUAAAGUAUCGGGACUCCCCGAGAGAGGGGGAUAACUACAGGAAACGGUAGCUAAUACCGCAUACUAUCGGAGAACCCACAUGGGAUGAGCUAGUAGGUGAGGGAAUGGCUCACCUAGGCGACGAUCCCUAGCUGGUCUGAGAGGAUGAUCAGCCACACUGGGACUGAGACACGGCCCAGACUCCUACGGAGGCAGCAGUGGGGAAUAUUGCACAAUGGGCGCAAGCCGGAUGCAGCCAUGCCGCGUGUAUGAAGAAGGCCUUAGGGUUGUAAAGUACUUUCAGUCGGGAGGCGUUACCGACAGAAGAAGCACCGGCUAACUCCGUGCCAGCAGCCGCGGUAAUUC
rnacentral:rRNA from 1 species